rnacentral:tRNA from 1 species
GUGGUGCAACGGAUAGCACGUAAGAUUCCGGUUCUUAAAAUGGGGGUUCGAUUCCCUCC